AUUGAACGCUGGCGGCAGGCCUAACACAUGCAAGUCGAACGGUAACAGGAAGCAGCUUGCUGCUUCGCUGACGAGUGGCGGACGGGUGAGUAAUGUCUGGGAAGCUGCCUGAUGGAGGGGGAUAACUACUGGAAACGGUAGCUAAUACCGCAUAAUGUCGCAAGACCAAAGAGGGGGACCUUCGGGCCUCUUGCCAUCGGAUGUGCCCAGAUGGGAUUAGCUUGUUGGUGGGGUAACGGCUCACCAAGGCGACGAUCCCUAGCUGGUCUGAGAGGAUGACCAGCCACACUGGAACUGAGACACGGUCCAGACUCCUACGGGAGGCAGCAGUGGGGAAUAUUGCACAAUGGGCGCAAGCCUGAUGCAGCCAUGCCGCGUGUAUGAAGAAGGCCUUCGGGUUGUAAAGUACUUUCAGCGGGGAGGAAGGGGGUAAAGUUAAUACCUUUGCUCAUUGACGUUACCCGCAGAAGAAGCACCGGCUAACUCCGUG
rnacentral:rRNA from 1 species